GCCAAAAAUUGUUUGGGACGGAUCUUUUUAUCAAUAAUCCCUUGAAAGUUAGAAACAUAAUUUUGUACUCUCAAACACGAAAUAUUAUUGAUUAAAGAGUCAUAAUUUCAUUAUGCUGGCCUGUUUUCACAUAUGACGAAGGCCUCAAGAUAAACGAUCACCGAUAAAAUUGUGAAAAGGAAAAAACAGCAAAGAUUUAGAGGUGCAGCAAUGGCAGACUCAAACUGGAAGAAUAUCGCCCUUCUUGUAAUUGAUAUGCAGAAAGAUUUCAUUCAUCCCGGCGGUCCGGUGCAUGUUAUAGGCGGCGCAGCUAUUGUUCCAAAUGUUGUUAAGGCCGUUGAACAAGCUCGAAUCCGUCAAAUUCCUAUUAUUUGGGUUGUGCGAGAGCAUGAUCCAUUGGGGAGAGAUGUAGAGUUGUUCCGCAGGCAUUGGUAUGCUGCUGAUGAACCAAAACCGACUUCAAAGGGUAGCGUGGGAGCAGAAUUGGUUGAUGGGCUGGUCAUCAAAGACGGUGACUAUAAGCUGGUGAAGACGAGGUUUAGCGCCUUUUUUAACGCACACCUUCACUUAUAUCUACAGGGUGCUGGAAUUAAUAUGUUAGUAAUCACUGGUGUUCAAACUCCAAACUGUAUCCGGCAGACUGUCUUUGAUGCCGUUGCAUUAGAUUAUCAUAAAGUCAUGGUCAUUGUUGAUGCAACCGCUGCUGCCACGCCUGUUGUACAAAUUGACAGAGAAGGUAGAACAGUUCGCAGCACAGACAGAAAGCCGCGACCCAAGCGACGAUUCCCAGCAAAUUCCGACGAUUCCCAGCAAUUUCCGGCGAAUUUCCACCAUUUUGCAACCAUAUUCCGUAGAUGGCAUCUGCAAGUUCCGAACAACAGUUAUUAUUCCGGCACACGAGACUGGACGCGUUUGCCGACAAUUUAACCGAUACCAGCGUAUUCCUCAGUAUUGUGAUAGGAUGCUACAUAAUGCCGGACAUCUAUAUAAAAGUCACCGCCGUGGGAGGAAGGGCGCCGAUUGGGCUAAGGUUGAGACCCUUCAGGAGAUAUGGCAUUUGACCUCUGAACAUGACACAGACCCUCGGUUACGGCAGAUUCGGGAAAUGGCUGCUGAGGCCCUUCGUACGACGGACCAUACUGAUGUGAUGGAGUAUCCAACUUCGCAACGGCGAAAUGUGGUCAUGCCGCCACGCCCUCCAACUUCUCUUCGUCAUGGACUGCCGGGUGUCCGGACGGGUGGGCACGGGAUUACACGACAACAUAGGUUGUCGCAGCAGCAGCAGCCGCAACAUGAGUAUCCGGUACCAGAGCCCUUGAGUCCUGAGUACGAUCCCUCAGGAUGGUCUCAGUUGAGUGAUGCAAGCCACGAGCCCUCGCAAUGGGGAGCACGAGCAUCAUGUGAUUCAUUCUUUGGCGGCGGGUCUGAUUGGGAUGCAGCUCAACCAGGACGUGAUCCAUACUUUCAAAAUUAUCAAUUUGUGGAUCCUGUGGGGGAAGAAGAUGGCCAGGAAGACGAUGACCAUG